rnacentral:rRNA from 1 species
UAUCAAUAAGCGGAGGAAAAGAAACUAACAAGGAUUCCCCUAGUAACGGCGAGCGAACCGGGAAGAGCUCAAAUUUGAAAUCUGGCGUCCCACGGGCGUCCGAGUUGUAAUCUGCAGAGGCGUCUUCCGCCCCGGACCGCGUCCAAGUCCCUUGGAACAGGGUAUCAAAGAGGGUGACAAUCCCGUGCUUGACGCGACCCCCGGUGCUAUGUGAUGCGACCUCAAAGAGUCGAGUUGUUUGGGAAUGCAGCUCAAAACGGGUGGUAAAUUCCAUCUAAGGCUAAAUAUUGGCGAGAGACCGAUAGCGAACAAGUACCGUGAGGGAAAGAUGAAAAGCACUUUGGAAAGAGAGUUAAACAGUACGUGAAAUUGUUGGAAGGGAAACGAUUGAAGUCAGUCGUGUCCGAGGGGUUCAGCCGGUCCUGCCGGUGCACUCCCCUCGGACGGGUCAACAUCGGUUCUGUCCGGCGGACAAGGGCAGGGGGAACGUGGCACCCUCGUGGUGUGUUAUAGCCCCCCGUCGCAUACGUCGGUCGGGACCGAGGAUCGCAGCUCGCCCUCACGGGCCGGGGUUCGCCCACGUCCGAGCUUAGGAUGUUGACGUAAUGGCUUUAAACGACCCGUCUUGAAACACG